rnacentral:rRNA from 1 species
AGAGUUUGAUCCUGGCUCAGAACGAACGCUGGCGGCAGGCCUAACACAUGCAAGUCGAGCGCUGUAGCAAUACAGAGCGGCGCACGGGUGAGUAACACGUGGGAACGUGCCCUUUGGUUCGGAAUAACUCAGGGAAACUUGAGCUAAUACCGGAUGAGCCCUAACGGGGAAAGAUUUAUCGCCGAAGGAGCGGCCCGCGUCGGAUUAGCUAGUUGGUGGGGUAAAAGCCUACCAAGGCAACGAUCCGUAGCUGGUUUGAGAGAACGACCAGCCACACUGGGACUGAGACACGGCCCAGACUCCUACGGGAGGCAGCAGUGGGGAAUCUUGGACAAUGGGGGAGACCCUGAUCCAGCCAUGCCGCGUGAGUGAUGAAGGCCCUAGGGUUGUAAAACUCUCUCGGCGGGGACGAUAAUGACGUACCCGCAGAAGAAAUCCA